UGAAUUGCCAGACAAAAUCCCAUUAAAAAUAACUGACAAAAUCAGUUCGUUAUUUUUCAUUGUGGAGUACAUAAGUAAUUGUGUUGUGAAAAUAUAGUGUUUUUUAUUAAAAAUACAGUGUAUAAAUGUUUUUACUAAAAAUAAAGUUGGAAAAUGCCGAGAACUAAAAAUAAGUGUGUGGCUGGAUGCGUAGGAGCGCGACGGUUUUUCAAUUUCCCCAACAAGGAAAAGGAUGGAUCCAGGUUCGUAAAUAAUUUUAAUUAGUAGAAAAAUAUAGUUAUUUAGUGAAAUUUAGAAAUAUUUUUUCAUAAAUGGUGCCUAUUUUGAUUUUGUUUUAGAUGCAAUUUAUUGCAUGAUAAAAAAUAUAUCAUACUUGCGAAAUGUAAUGUAAUUUUGUAAAUAGUAUUGUAAUAUUUAAUAGAUCCAAUUUAAUAUGUUGUUUGGAGUAGCGUAGUAGAUGUAAAUAUUACUAUAAUUAUAAUUUAUAAGCACAAAUAAAUGUAAUACUAGUAAUAUAAAUAAUAAAUUAUAAAUACUAAUAAAUGUUGUGAUUUUAUUUUGUACCUAUAUGGGUGAUAUAGGCUUAUAGGGGAACCGAGCACCCAAAACUAACUUCGGUAACGCGCCUUUUGUAUACCUCAGCGGUGGUGUGGAAAUUACAAACUCCCAAAGCAUUUACUAAAAAUUCCCUAACACAUUUCUUCCAUAGUGGCAUCAUUGGCAAAUGUUAUAAAAAAUGUGGACUUUGACAGCGCUCUCUCGAAUCAAAGAGUUUCGUAUCAAUUUAUCCAUGGUAUAUAAUACAGAGAACCGCAACCCAUAUCACACCAUUUUAUACAUAUUUUGAAAAUCCUAUCUUGGUGUUAAAGUGGCCAUACACGACACACAUGUGCGUUCGAUCGGUAUGUGUGCAAUUGAUGUUUACUCCUGUAUGGACUUGUGCGCAUACCUAUCCAUUUUCACGAAAAUGUUUGAUUUUUUACGAUCAGUGUGCACACAUGUAUGCCGUGAAUGGCGCUGUGUGCACACAAAUUUUUCUUUUUUUUCGUUUCGCCGAAUAGGAAAGAUCGCGGACAAACAAUUUUCCGCUUGCUUGUCGCACAUGUUCACUGUGUGAAAAACGAAUGCAAAAUGAAUUUGAUGUGCUGAACACAAUGAGCGCGACAGGCUGCAAGCGACAUCUGUCAAAUAAUAAAAUAUACACGUUCUUAUGCACACAGUUAUUUUGGCAGCUGCACGACUACACGACUGCAGGCCGACAGUUACACUCAGCGAAAAAAAAACCCACGCAGUCGAAAAUUUUCUAAUAUUCCUAUUUUGAACUGUCACUGUUUGCUCAAAAUUCACUAUUUGUCUUAUUUAGCUGUUUUGUCAUGUGACUACAUUAUUUUGCCUUUAUUUUUAAAACCGUUAGCGUCCGCACGUGUUUAUUACAGAAGUUGCGGUUUUUUCUUUUGGAUCAGUUGUGAUAACAAGUUAAGUUGAACAUGGUGGUGUCAACAAAAAAAAAACAGAAAUCGUAACUUUAUAUAAAAUAAAUUAUCCAAAGGUCAAAAAGCUCGUGAAAUAGGCAUAAGAGAUUGGAACGUGCGUAUUAUAAUUAAAAAUUAUACGUAUUUUAACUGAAUAGCUCGAAAAAAGGGCAGUGGACGUCUGAAAACAGUAAAACCUCGACAAAAACGACAAAUUAAACGGAUGUGCAUUAAUGAUCGCUUUCAACAUGCUGGAACAAUCAAUGCAACAUUAUACGAAACCACUGGGGUAAAAAUAACUACAAGUUCUAUACAAAAUUUGCCGAAUAUUCUUGGACUCCGAGCGCGACGUCCAGCCAAAAAGCCACUUCUCAUUACACGAAUGAAGAAAUACUGACUAGAGUGGGCAAAAUUACACAAAAUGUGGACUACAUCAGAUUGGGGAAAUGUUAUUUUUUCCGAUGAGUCGAAAUUUAAUUUGUUGGAACCCGACGGAAAUGCCGCAGUGCGUCAUGGGAAAGGGGAGCGUUUUUUGGAAAACUGUGUUUGGCCCACCGUAAAGCAUUCGCCUUAUUUAAUGGUGUAGGGAGCUGUAACCAAGUUUGGGUUUGGGCCGCUAAUUAUUCUAAAAAGAUCUGUGAAUGCCAAAAUAUAAAUUGGAAUUUUGAGAGAAGGAGUUUUGUGAAUUAUUGAACAGCUGGCCGAACGCGCCCAAAAAGUUUAUUUUCAGGAUAUUUCAGCCCCUUGUCAUAGAGCCAAAGCGGUUUCAAAACAAAAAGAUUUUUAUGGAAUGGGGACUCUCACGUGGCCAGGAAACAGUUCAGACCUCAAUCCAAUUGAGAACUGCUAGCAUUAUUUGGGCAAAAUGGUGGACAAAAUGAUAAGAGAAAAGCAUCCAAAAAGUCUAAAAGAAAUAGAAAAAAUUGUUGAAGCUGUGCGGAAUGAAUAAAUUAAUUAAAAUUAUCUUCAACGCUUUUAUGAAUCCAUGCCUAAACAUAUAGCCGAUGUUAUUAGGAGGAGGGGGUGUUCUACAAAAUACUAAGAAUUUUUUUAUACAAAAUAUUUUAUUUUGAUUCGUUAUGUAUUCUAAUGCAAAAUAAAAAAUUUUAUAAAACAUAAAAUAUGUAAAUAACUUGUUUAAAAAUUACAUUAUUGUUCAUAAGAAAAUUUACUUCUGUGGUUUGUUAUGUGUGUGUUUUUACAUUUUUAUCUAUAACAAGUGUUAAACUAUAAGUUUUUUAUAUAAAAAUGCUU